CUUUUUGUCUUUUCUAGGGCUGCACUCGCAGCAUAUGGAGGUUCCCAGGCUAGGGGUCUAAUUGGAGCUAUAGCUGCCGGCCAGCGCGAGAGCCACAGCAACGCAGGAUCCGAGCCGCGUCUUGUGACCUACACCACAGCUCACAGCAACGCCAGAUCCUUAACCCACUGAGCAAGGCCAGAGAUCGAACCCGCCACCUCAUGGUUCCCAGUUGGAUUCGUUAACCACUGAGCCAUGACAGGAACUCCAGUCUAGCUGCCUGAACAGCAGGCUUCUCACACGCCAAGUGGGAGUAUAAGGCUAUGGAUUAGGAACAGCACCUGGAACAAACACAGCACAGUGCUGGGCACACAGGAAGGGCGUGACACCAGACGCCUGUUGGUACAGAGACGGGCGAGGCCAAAUUCACUUGAUGUUUGGCCAACUGCCCAUAAAAACUGUACGGUGGGAGUUUCCAUUAUGGCGCAACUGAAACAAAUCCAACCAGGAACCAUGAGGUUGCGGGUUUGAUUCCUGGCCUCGCCCAGUGGGCUAAGGAUCCCAGGUUGCCGUGAGCUGUGGUAUAGGUCAGAUCUGGCAUUGCUGUGGCUGUGGCUGUUGCUGGCAGCUAUAGCUCCAAUUCUACCUCUAGCCUGGGAACCUCCAUAUGCUGCAGGUGAGGCCCUAAAAAGCAAAAAAAAAUAAGUAAAUAAAUAUAUAAGGCUGUAUGGUGACCUUAAAUCUGUCUGAUUUCUAACCCUUCCCCCACCCCCACUCCUAAUCCAUUUUCCACCCAGCAGCCCACAUAUUUUUAAAACAAAACCUUUGCUUAAACCUUUCAGUGACUUGCAGGACACUGAGAAUAAAACCUAAACUCCUUUCCAUGAGCUGGCAGGGUCUGACUCAUGCCUCCCUCUCCGAUCUCAUUUCAUCAGGCCAGUUCCAGUCAUGCUGGGCUUCAAUUAGCACCGCAAACGCAGCCAGCAUCUUCCCACCUUGGGCCUGCCUGCACGCCUUCUCUCCCGGCCACAGUUCCCACUGCCCUUUGCACAGCUAAUGCCUAAUGCCUUCCAUCCCUCGGAUCACCUCCUUGGCAGUCACUCUACCUUCCUCUCCCAGGCCCUGAUUGUUCCCUCCUAGAUUUCACUGCCAUCUGUAGUCAUCUUGCCUCCUUACGUGUAAUUUCCUUCACUACUUUAUCCUUAGGGUGCAGCACAAGGACUGGCACGCAGGGCCCUGGUUGACAUUUGCUGAAUGGGUACAUGUGAGUGUGUGUCGACACACCCUCGCUCCAGACUGUCUCUCUGACACACACACACACACCCCUGAGGGGGCUCACAAAGGAAGCUCCCCACACACAUACUGGAGCCUGCUGAACCAGACUAGACUCCUUCUCCAGGACCCAGACAGAGCGGGGCCAGAGAGUGUGGUUAACUCAGAGCCCAGCAUCAGGGCCAGUCCCCACUCCGAGGGUGUGGGUGUGGCGGGUGUGGUGGGCAGCGGCUCAGCACCCUCCCUGUGGGAGCCGGGGCAUAAAGGGCCCUAUUCAGCCCAUGCAGCCUCAGCUCCUCCCUGCCAGGGGAGGCUGCCCUCAGGAAAGGGGACCAUGGGAUGCUGGGCAGUGCUUCCCGGCAGCCUCUCCCUGUAGCGUGGACCACAGCAGGGAUGGGAGAAUUUGGAGGGGAGGGGGCAGCUAGGAGUACAGGGCCUCCAGACACAACAGAAAGGCCCAAACAGAUGGGGAGGUUGUGGGGCGGCCAGGGGUUGUCCUCAUUCUGAGGGGUGAUGCUGAAAGGCACAGUUCACUGCCAAUGCUCCAGAGCAGAGGAAAAUCCCCAGGACGCAGAGGUCCAUAACCACAGGCGUGGCAGCGCCAGCCAGAGGGGAGCUUGCCUAGCUCUCUUGGGAUGGACACUGUCCCCCAAAGUCUGCUUUCCUUGAGCGUUGGCACUGUUGGUAGAACUGGGCCCAGACAAUCAGCUCUCUUCAGCAACCUCCUACCAGUAUUUUCCAUGGUUCCACCCCAUCCUGCAAGGGAGGUGAGGAUGGUAUAACUAAUAGAUCACAUUCAUUGAGCACGUGGUGUAUACUAAGGACAGUGCGAUGUGCUUCACAUUUAUUCUGUUAUUUGAUCUUCAUAACAACCUAUAAUCUAGGUACCCAGGUACUGUUAACUCCCAUUUUACAGAUUAUUAAACCAAAGGUCAAAAAAGGUGAGUGGCCUGCCCAAGGUCACACAGCUAAUAAGUCACAGAUCUGGGUUGGAUGCGCCGUGAUCUCUGUCUUUGGCAAUCUGAAAGUGCAUAGGCUCUUCAUUCUUCCGCUACGUCCCUUCUUUUCUCUGUACCCUUCCCCAGGCAGUACAUCUAACCCCACCCCUACCCCAUAAGCAUGUCCGCAUGCAUCAUUCACUCACUUGCUAAUCAUUCAGCUCUCCACAGUGCCUGUGCUGAACUGGGGACGGAGAUGUGUUGGUGAACAAUACAGACACAGCCCCUGCCCUCACAAAGGACACAGCCUGGGUGGGCACUGCGUUGUGGUGUGAUCGCUUACGAUGGGGACACACAGGAGGGAGACAGGCCUGUAAAGUGGUAGGAAUAAGCCAGGCUAAGGGAAAGGAAGAGUGUUCCAAGAGGAAGGAAGAGCCUGAGCAAAGGUCCAGAGAUAAAAGACAUCAGCUAGAGUUAAGUCCAGUGUGAUGGAGAGAUGUGUGUGUGUGCGUGUGCGCGUGUACGCGGUGUGUUAGGAUGUUAUAAAAAUGUGCUACCCCAACAGACAAUGGGUUACAGGGGUUCACUCACAUGACACAUAGCAGAGCAGAGCUGUCAACAUUAUACAUUUCAGAAAUAUAUGUUUCUGAACCUUCCAGGCCAAAGACCACAGUUUUUAUGUGAAGAAACAUAGGCACCUUCGGACCCUUCCGAAGCCCUUCUCCGCCAUGUUUAAACCCCAAGGGAGGCACACUUGGGCCUGGUCAUGGUCAGACAGGCACAGCACAGGCUCAAACCUGUGUUCUCACCUACCAUAAUCCAAAUGCAUCCCCGGGAGGUAAAACCAGGAGACGCUGGAGGUCACUGUGUCCAGCCCCCUCACUUUCUGAGGUCGAGGCUGAGCUCAGAGAGAAUGAUCUCUUGCCCAACAUUGCAAAAGACUCAGUGGAACUUGAGCUGGCACCUUGGUUCUAGGAUGGCCUUUGCAGCUUCCGCAUCAUCAUCAUCAUCAUCGUCAUCAUCAUUAUUAUUAUCUUUUGUCUUUUCAGGGCCACACCCACAGCAUAUGGAAGUUCCCAGGCUAGGGGUUGAAUUGGAGCUGCAGCUGCCAGCCUACACUACUACAGCAAUAGCAGUGCUGGAUCUGAGUUGCGUCUGUGGCCUAUACCACAGCUCGUGGCAACACAGGAUCCUUAACCCACUGAGUGAGGCCAGGGAUUGAACCUGAGUCCUCAUGAAUGCUAGUUGGGUUCAUUACCACGGAUCCACAACAGAACUCCAGCUUUUGCACUUAUAAGUUAUAUUCCCCAGGGUCCCUAACUCAGUUGUCUUUCUUACUUCCAAUUUCUACCCCAAUCCUCACCCAACAACAAGAGCUGCCAUUACUGAUACCACGUCACAGAACUGAGGACUCACUGCGGUGGUCCGCCUCCAAGGUGGUCCCUGGUAGCUCUGGCCAUCUGGCCCAUACACCUUACACAGUCCCUUCCCAUACUGGACAGGGCUGACCUGUGGCGCCAGUAGGAUAUUUGGAAAUGGUGGUUUCCAAGACUAGGUUGUAAAAGAUAUCAAGGUUUCCUUCUUGAUCUUGCUCUGGGAAAGCCAGCUGCUGUGUUGUGAGGACACUCAAGCAGCCUAGGGAGAAGCCCACGUGGGAAGGAACUGAAGCCUCUGCAAGCCACGUAAGUAAGCCAUCUUGCCAAAAGAUCCUCCAGCCCCAGUCAAGCCUUCAGAUGACACUUUGCCUACAAUAUCGCAAGAGAUCCUGAGUCAAAACCAUGCACCUAAGGUUUUCCUGAAUUCCCGGCCCACAGAAACUUUGUGAGAUAAUACACACUUAUUGUUUUAAGCAGCUAAAUUUGGGGGAGGGAUGUGUUACAUUGUAACAGAUGACUGAUACAGGACCCAUCACUGCUCUUGAUAGAAUGAAGGUCUGUGGGUCACCUGAAUCAGAGAUAUUUGGCAUAUUGAUUACAAAUGCAGAUUCCUGGGAUUCAUCCAGACCCCUUGAAUUAGAUAGAAAGGUGAGAGCCUGAAUUUUCAAUAAAGCCCCCACCCUGCGGUCGCCAAGUGAAUCUCAUGUGCCUUUUAGGUUUAGAAUUCCUGGGCUAAUCUAAUUCACUUUACACAUCUAAAGAGGCUCGGAGAGCUGAUGGCUUGAUCCUUCUUGCACAUCUAGGCUGAGGCAGGCCGAGGCCAAGAAUUAGUACGGAUUUCCAGUUCAGUGCUCUUUCUACUUACUUCCUCCUUUGUCUAAGUCAGUUUGCUUCUUUGAGAAGUGUAGGCAUUAUUUUUCUUUUCCUUUUAUUUCUAUUAAAAAUACACACAUAGCAAAAUGCUAUACAGUCAGUUGUUUGUCUGCUUAAGAGCUUGCUUUGCCUGGGAAGAACUUUUCAUCAGGACUGAAAAUGUGGGCCAUGCAGAGGGGCUGGUGCUGCCACAGAACAGUGCAUCAGAAAAGACAUCUUUUCUACCCACCUAAAUGCCCCAGCUCCAGGAAAGCAAAAUACAGCAUGUACAAGACAGAGGACAAGGACAAGGUGGAGUCUACCUUAACCCCUGCAAACUCUCACCCUAGUGGGUACGAUAAUAAUCCUGCUUUCAUUUGCACAGCAUCUGGGGGCUUGGAAAGAACUCGGGUACAAUCUUAGUGAAUCACUUUUGUGAACGGCAAGAUGGGCAGCUCUGUGACCCAUUCGGUCAUUCGGUUGGCACAUUUGUUGCACAACUACUAUGUGCCAGCAGGCACAAGGG
rnacentral:lncRNA from 1 species